GAUGAAGAACGUAGCGAAAUGCGAUAAGUAAUGUGAAUUGCAGAAUUCAGUGAAUCAUCGAAUCUUUGAACGCACAUUGCGCCCGCUAGUAUUCUGGCGGGCAUGCCUGUUCGAGCGUCAUUUCAACCAUCAAGCCCCCGGGCUUGUGUUGGGGACCUGCGGCUGCCCGCAGGCCCUGAAAACCAGUGGCGGGCUCGCUGUCACACCGAGCGUAGUAGCAUCAUCUCGCUCAGGGCGUGCUGCGGGUUCCGGCCGUUAAAAAGCCUCUAAUACCCAAGGUUGACCUCGGAUCAGGUAGGAAGACCCGCUGAACUUAAGCAUAUCAAUAAGCGGAGGA
rnacentral:misc_RNA from 1 species